GACCCUAAAAAGUCCUUUAAACACAAAGGUUUGGUCCCAGCCUUGGGAUCAGUUGUUACUUGGUAUACACAUGCAAGUCUCCGCACCCCUGUGAAAACGCCCUUAAAUCCCUAUAAGGGAUAAGGAGCCGGUAUCAGGCACAAAUUAGCCCAAGACACCUAGCUACGCCACACCCACACGGGAACUCAGCAGUGAUUAACAUUAAAAAUAAGCGUUAGCUUGAAUUAGCCAAAGUAGAAUAGAGCCGGCAAAUCUGGUGCCAGCCGCCGCGGUUACACCACGUGGCUCAAACUGACCCCCUUCGGCGUAAAGUGUGAUUAAAGUUAUAUCCUAAUACAAUUAAACUGAAAUUAAGCUGUGACACGCUUAUAUUCAAGAAACUCAAAAACGAAAGUUAUUGUAACCCAAAUAACUUGAAUUCACAACAGCUGGGAAACAAACUGGGAUUAGAUACCCCACUAUGCCUAGCCGUAAACCUUUAUUUACAAACAUUUCGCCAGGGAACUACGAGCCAAGCUUAAAACCCAAAGGACUUGACGGUACCCCACAUCCACCUAGAGGAGCCUGUCCUAUAAUCGAUAACCCCCGUUUAACCUCACCACUUUUAGUUUAUCAGCCUGUAUACCUCCGUCGUCAGCUUACCUCGUGAGCGUAAACUAGUGAGCCUAAUGCCCCUACGCCAAUACGUCAGGUCAAGGUGCAGCAUAUGAAGUGGAAAGAGAUGGGCUACACUAUCUAUAUUAGAUAAUACGAAAGACUACAUAUGAAAUCCUAAUCAGAAGGCGGAUUUAGAAGUAAAAGAAGAUCAAUAUGCUUCCUUUAACCCGGCACUGGGGUGUGUACACACCGCCCGUCACCCUCUUCAAGAUCUUAAUACAGUUUUUAACAAAACUAGACCCUAUAGAAGAGGCAAGUCGUAACAUGGUAAGUAUACCGGAAGGUGUGCUUGGAAA
rnacentral:ncRNA from 2 species